AACACCGGGACCAGUUGGGGUUGAAUACUGAACAGUAUUAGGAGGCCUAGGGAUAUUCAAGGCAAGUCCAGGAGGUGGAGGAAGAGGUCUAAUUGAUGGCAUGCCAGGUCUGGGAGGAGGAGGAGCUGCAGGACCUGGAAGAUUUCUCAUAUCACUGUUGCCUGCUUCAUUUAGAUCUUCUCCACCAGCAUUCUGAGACAUGGCCUGACUUGCUGUACGACCAAUACUUCCCGUAUGCCCAUCCCAAAUGACUUGCUUUGGUUGAUCAUCUUUUUUCUUCUCGAUCUCUGCCUUAACAGCAUUAGAGACUUCCUCCUCAGUAGUACCAAAAAUAUCAGGACGGGUUCGAGCAAGUCCAACAAUAUUUUUUGUGAUCUCAUCAUCAGGAGCAAGAGUAGUAUCCCUAAUUUUUGCAAACAUCCUCUCCUUCUGCUCCUUGUACUUUGGAUCAAUUAAAGAGAUCCUGAUAUGUUCAGACAUCUCAUUGUCAGGAAUCAGCUCACCAGUUAUUGGAGACACAACAAAUUUAGUUGGAUCUCUUUCAGCAGGUAACCUCUCCUCAGGUCUCCUCCAAUUCUUUACUAUCCUCAUAGGUGGUUCUGCUUCAUCUAUUGUAACCUUAGCUUCAUUAUUCUUCAGGUCCCCGUUCUCUUCAAGACUAGCUGCCCUCAUGCCCUCCUCAACAAGCUGCACCUCCUCUUCAUCCAUUUCCAUUUCUACUUCCUUCCCAGGCUCAAUGAUCUCCUCUUCUUCCAUACCUGUCAUCUUGCUUCUUCGUAUAACCUCCUCCAGGGUCAUAGGAGGGGGCAAAUCUUCAUCCUCAUCAUCUGCAAAGUCUAUGGUCUCUACUACAACAAAGUCAUGCCAAUCAAUCAUGGCCAUAUGUAAUCGCUCCUGUUCUAUCUCAUCUUCAGCUUUCUGCCUAGCCUGCUCCUGCGACCGUUCCCACUCCAAGCGAUGAAGGCAUCUUUCAAGCACCGUAGUCAUGUCAGUUACACUCUUUCUCAACUUAUCUGUUAACGCUUUUGGAGGCAUCAAUACUUUCGAAUAAGCAUCCGCAAGAGAUGUAAAAAACAUAAACAUGCUAUGGGUUGGUUUUAGAAAAAGAAAUUGAGGAUUGUUAAUCUCCCUACUGGUCAAUCCAGUCAAAAAUGAUUUCCCAUUCCUUGCGACAAACUGGGCAGUAAGCUUAAUUAUGUCCAACUCCUCCCCUGUAAUCCCUUCAGGGAGGCGAACAGUGUACUGCUCUGCUUCAGGGGGUUCAAGAAUUUUACGAACAGGCCUAAACUGCACCGAUGGAUCAGGCUUUGCAAUCGCAUCCUUGCCAUCAGCAGCUGGGGCAGCAGUUGCGGACUCUGGAGCAGCUGAAUCUGCCAGUUGCAAUGGCUGCAGAGCAGAAACCUGAUUUUGUGCACGGGCUUCAGAUAAAUGAUGCUGAUAGUACGCAUGGUAUGGAUCAGAGGCAUUCAAAAAGUUAAAUUUUGGAUUCCCAGCAUUGCUAGCAAUAAUCCUCUUUUCAAACUCAGGACCAUUCUUGGCCACAAACUGAGAUGUCUUGUCAACAAUGUUUCUGAUAUCUGGAGGAGGAUAAAUAAUACCAAUAGUUCUCGUAUGAGUCGCAACCGAAAUAGGAGCUGAGUUGGAGUUGUCAGCUUUGCUCAGAUCCUCUUGACUUCCAUUCUGUUUCUCGUCUUCUUCAGUUAUCUGAGCUAGUGGUAAAGGCCCAAGAUUACCAUCAGAAGGGGGUGCAGGUAAAGGCAAUAUCGGCAAAUUGCCCAACAUUUCCAGAUGGUCUGCAAAAAGUUCACAAAAAAGUUAAAAACAAACCAACAAAAAACACAUGCAGCACACUAUUUUUACUUCCUAGCAUAUCAUGCUCUCAUAACUCAUGACUUCAUGAAGCUUUAUCACGAUGAAGACCUCAAAAAUGAGCACAACUACAAGAGACGGGUAUUACCCCCUUGAAGAUCAUAAACUAGGUAUGAGUUUAUGCCUACUUCAGACCAUCCACAAACUUUUCAAUUCAGUCAAGACAAACAUUCACAAACAUAUUUCAUCACAUAUGUUCACAUACAUCAAGUGGAAUCGCUACAUAAUCCCAAGUACAAGCAAAAUAAACUAACGAAUCAAACAUGUUAGAAAGCCACCUCUGCUUAAAAUGAAAAUAAAUAAAUUACAGUAACAGAACAACCAACUUCAGAAUAAACUAAUCACAAUGAAUUUCAUUAGAGCAUCAAGAUUCAGAUUUCAGCAAAAACAACACCAACUAAAAUAAGCAAGGAGAACUCAUCACUAACCAAACAGAAAAUAUCCCCCAACCACCAAGGAAUAAUAAGAAACUUUCUCAGCAUAAAGAGAGAGUAAAGAGGUUACUACAAGCUGCAGAUUCAGAAUUGUCGAUAGGGGAACUAGGGUUACGGAUUUGGAAUUUCAUUUUUUUUAUUCUCGCUCUCUUAGACUUUCACUCUAGCUGACUCUACAGUAUGUUUCACAAAAAAACUCAACAAAACCCAAAGGAAAAAGAAAUGGGUGGGUUGGGGCAUUCCAGGUUCUGAUACUACUUCCUAUUCUUCCUUUUCAGGGUCCGCUACCCAGCCCUAAAACUUUUUCAGGAUGCAAUAUCCUUCAAGUGGUGUUCUUUUAAUAACUGUCCCAAAAAAUUUUUACUACUUAAUCAAGUUGGAGGAGGAGGUUUACAAGUUAAACUUUUUUUUAGUCAUUUUUUAGUGUUACUUUUCCCUUCACUAGAAAGGUUAAACAGUAGCAUUUGAAAAUAAGAAUGUUAGCCCCCACUUCGUAUUGAUUAAUCAAAAACUUACCUCUCCAAUUUAUUCAUCUUCAAUUUAUUUCUUAUAUAUAUAUAAUACACAACAAACACCACUAAUAUAUACCAUAAAUGGCAUACAGAAAUAACAAUAAAAAGGUUAAUUACAACAUUCACUCCAAAACUAUUAUUAAUUUGUACUUUCUCACUUAUAAUAUCAAUUCAGCACUUUACAACUAACAAUUUGUGCAUUAAUGGCAAACAAGUAGGAUGGCCGGGUUUUAAAGAAUUCCAAGAUACAGAAAUAGACACAAAAAAUCCAACGUUGGUCAAAGAACUAAUGAGUGAGACAAUAUAAAGCCUAUUUUAGUACCACCUCCUGUUUUACAAAUUCUACCCAUAUUAAUAUGCACCCACAUACACUCUCUACCUCUCUUUCCCAGUUCCCACCGUCCCAAAUACCUUGAGGUACUUGGAUUUACAAGUUUUUAAAAUCAUUGAAGGUACUUGGAUGCAUGUUUUUAAUCUCAAUUGUGAUAUUAAAACAGAAUAGUUUGGUGUCUGGUUAACUCAAACAAUCCAGUAGGUCUGGUUCAAAGACUAGGAAAUAAGUACAAGCUUUUCCAUCAUAUGUUCCAGUUUGAGUUAAGAUACAAUUGCACUUGGGCUUUAUAACAGUGUUUUUUUUUUUUAAUUAAAUGAAAUAAAUCCAAGAUGGUUGCCUCUCAAGUCCUUUGUCCUAUCCCAAAUCCAAGUGGAUCGCCUCUCUACGAGAUUUUCUUUAACUAUUUUGUAUGCUGAAAUCAAAAGGAGGGAGGGAAUCCGUUUAACAAUGAAAAACUAGGGAGAAGGUGGAAUCCUUUCGGAAAUUGACAUUUUUUCCCUAAAAUAUGAGCACAAUUACAAGAGAAAGGGUAUCACCCCCAAUGAAGAUCAUAAACUACAGUACACUUUCCAGCCCAUUUCAGACCAUCCACAAACUUUUCAAGUCCCUCAAGACAAACAUUCACACACAUUUCCGCCCCAUAUGUCCACAUAUCAACUCGUAUCACUACAAAAUCCUAAUCACAAGCAAAAUGAAUAAACGAAGUCUAACAUGUUAGAAAGCUGGCUAUGCUGAAAACCAGAACAAAUAUUAUUGUAACAGAGUAACCAACUUCAGAAAAGAAUAAUCACGAUGAAAUUCACCCGUCCAAACGAAGAACAGAGCCCAUUAAGAUUCAGACUUCAGAGAAAAAAAAAUCACCAAAUCAGCAAGCAAGAAUAACUCGUCGCUAACCAAACACAAAAAAUCCCAAACCCCAACAAGCAUUCCCAAAAAAAAAAGAAAAAAUAAUUCAGCAUAAAAAUAGAGUAAAGAGGUAAUUACAAACUGAAAGCCUGCUACUUCUUAGCAAAAUUCACCAACUUUACCUGAAUUUUACAGAACCCCAACCAAAAAGGGGAAACUUCUACAUUUAUAGGGUUUAUUCAUUACAGAACUUCAAAACGAAAAACAAAAAUAAGAAGAAAGAAAUGGAAAUGAUUAAAGCGAAGGACUGACCAGAGAGAUUUGAGCUCGCUAAUUGAAGACAGUAUAUUGAGAAAUUAGGGUUAGGGAUUCAGAAUUUCUUCUCUUUAUUCUCCCUCGCUCCGACUCCCACUAUCGCCGACUCUAUGCUUCGUUUUGAGAUAGUAAAAUCUAAACGAAACCCGAAGGGAAAAUGGAUGGGCCAGGUUUACCGGCUUCUGUAACAUCUGUUAUUACUUCCUAAUUGUUUCACUCUUUUUUUGUCUUGAGGGACCUGAAAAGUUUGUGGAUGGUCUCAAAUGGGCCGGAAAGUGUACUCUAGUUUAUGAUCUUCAUUGGGGGUGAUACCCCUUCUUUUGUAAUCGUGCUCAUGUUUUAGGGAAAAAAUGUCAAUUUCUGAAAAGAUUCCACCUUCUCCCUAGUUUUUCAUUGUUAAAUGGAUUCCCUCCCUCCUUUCGAUUUCAGCAAACAAAAUAGUUAAAGAAAAUCUCAUAGAGAGGCAACCCACUUGGAUUUGGGAUAGGACAAAGGACUUGAGAGGCAACCAUCUUGGAUUUACUUCAUUUAAUUAAAAAAAAACACCAUUAGAAAGCCCAAGUGCAAUUGUAUCUUAACUCAAGCUGGAACAUAUGAUGGAAAAGCUUGUACUUAUUUCCUAGUCUUUGAACCAGACCUAUUGGAUUGUUUGAGUUAACCAGACACCAAACUAAUUUGUUUUAAUAUCAGAAUUGAGUUUAAAAACAUGCAUCCAAGUACCUUCAAUGAUUUUAAAAACUUGUAAAUCCAAGUACCUCAAGGUGUUUGGGACGGUGGGAAAGAGAGGUAGAGAGUGUAAGUAGGUGCAUAUUAAUAUGGGUCGAAUUUGUAAAACAGGAGGCGGUACUAAAAUAGGCUUUGUAUUGUCUCACUCAUUAGUUCUUUGACCAACGUUGGAUUUCUUGUGUCUAUUUCUGUAUCUUGGAAUUCUUUAAAACCCGGCCAUCCUACUUGUUUUACAAGGUUAUUCUUGCAUAUUAUAACAGGCAAGCUUUAGAUCCAAUGGAGAAGUCACUAAAUUAAUUGAUCACCAUCAUCUCAUUUACUGGGUGUCAAAUUAAUCCAAAGAAUAGUUUUUGUCCCAGAAGACUUUAGUUUUGGAGGACUGAACCUUAGUUCCCCGUUUGCUCCAAAUCAAAUGACUAAACAAGCUAAUCAAUCAAUAUGCCCAUAAGAAUGACCACAAGACAACCACCAAAGGAUGAACAAAGUUCAAUUACUAAAUUGGCAUACGAUAAAGAUCUCAAGAACGACAACAAUAUUUCGUGAAAAAUUCAUAGAAUAUUUUAGCAAUUGACCCUAAAAGAAGUAGAUACAACUAACAAAAUCAGCUCAAUGAACCUAAUGAGCUCCAAAACCAAGUCUUUCUACACCAAAAAAUAUUCUCAUGCUUCUGAAGUAGAAAAGUUUCUACACAGGAAAGCAUUCUCCCCUGCAUCAUCAAACAAGGAACUUCAACAAUACCUAAUUAUGUCAACACUAAUCUUCAAAAACCUUAAUAAUAUGCUAACAUUGAACAAAAUACUCAAUUUAAUAUCUAAAUUAAAUAAAGUAACCUUGGACUUACUGAAUUAGCUAAUUUUAGUAGAACAUCUCCCCUUUAACUUCUUAUUUUCCCUUUUUUUUCCCUUUGGUAUCUUUAGGAAAGAUAGAAACCCAAUCAGGGCCAAUGUGGAAUCUUGUCAACCAUAAACCCUUCUAAAACCAACAAAAUCAACACACAAUUUUGCAACCCAAAAAAAAUGCUGAAAAUCAAUCUAUUCAACAAAAAAAAAUCCCAAAAAAUUGUAGAAUUUACCUGGUGAGGAUUAGGGCUAAACCUGAAAAAGGGACUUGCUUGCCGGGAUUCUCUGUCAACCUGCAAACAAUCAAACCAAUGAAUCAAUCAAUUUUCCUGUUAAACUCCAAGAAAUAAAUCAACAAAAAUCCCAGUAAAAAUUGAAGCUUUUUCUCGCCGGAAUCUGUAAAAUUCCGGGAUUACCAAGAAGACCCAGUUGACGGCCGACUUAGAAGAAACCGACGAGACAGCAAAUACAAGAAACCAUUACGUAAUCUUGGAGUAUAUGUAUAUUAGCAGUAGUAAAUAUACCUGAACGGAGACCGGGGAGUUGAAAAGCAGAGUAGGUGCCUAGCUUUGGGAUGGGAUGGGGUUUAUAAUAUGUAAUGUUGUCUCUUCAGCUCUCUUUCGGCCCAAGCCAAGGCAAAAUGCUUCAAAAAUUUCAAGUUUUAAUUUUUAUUUAUUUAUUUACUAAAAAAAUUUAUAUUUAAAAUAUGUUUGCUAUUUUAUUCAGACCCUUCAUUUAGCUACAUAUUUUAAAUCCCACCUAUCUUUUAUUUUUUACUUUCCAAUGGAAAUUUGAAAUUUAUUUUAUGUCCACUUUUUCUUUGUUGUAGUUUGCUCGAGUAUAUAUAUAUAUAUAUAUAGUAAAAUUAUAUAUAUAUUUCUAAUAUUUUAUUAUUUAUUAAGAAAAAUAUUAUUUUAUUUAUUUUUAAAAAAUAAAAUAAUUAUUUUUUAUUUUUCGAACUCGAACUUUAAAUUGACAACUCGUCGAACUCGAUUUCAAGUUUAAGUUUGAUAAAACUAAGUCAAUGUUUGGCUCAAUUAGGCCAAAGUUUGGCUUAACUCGACUUGUUUGUAGCCCUAAUACUGAUCUUCAGUUGAGUUCGAGCUGAAGAAGUCGAAUUUAAGAUCAAAGAUAUUGAGGUCGUUAACUCGCGAGCCGGCUCAAUUUUAUAUAUUUUUUUAUUUUAAUAGUGAAAUUACACCCACACACACAUGCAUAUAUAUAUUCCUAAUAUUUUAUUAUUUGUUAAGAAAAAUUACUAUUUUGUUCAUUUUAAAAAAUAAAAUAAUUAUUUUUUAUUUUUUUAAACUCGAGCUCGACUCGACUCGAAUUUGAGAUCAAGUUUGAGUUUGAACUUUAUAUUGAGAGCUCAUCGAACUCAAGUUCGAGUUCAAGUUUUGGUAAAAUUAAGUCGUGACCCAACUCAUUAGGUCAAAACUCGAUUCGAUUCGAUUCGUUUGCAGGUCUAAUCCCCAACAAUUUAUUUAUUUCAUAUAUAUCACAUCACAAAAAGUGCUACAUUAAUUAUUUUAAAUAAUAUUUCAAAAAAUCUACUAUCCAAACACACAAGAGUCUCGUGUGAUUAGUAAGUAGUUUCUACUAAUUUAUUUCUGCAAGCCAUGAAUCUUAUCACUAUGAAGUUAUGAAUCUUAUCAUCUUUUUCAAUGAUACUCUAAACCCAGCUUGCAUGCUUGUGUUAUAUAUAUAUGACUAAAGUUGGGAUUUUUAUUUGAAAUUUUUACAAGGUUAUUCUUGCAUUCUAUUCUUUAAACUUCUAAAAUUUCUUGGGUGCUAAAAUCAGAAAAAAGAAAUGCUUGCCAAAUCGUAAUUGAGCAGACAAUCAGAGGUAGUUAAUGGCGGUUGGAGGUUACGUUUAGCAGACAUAUCUGUUAAUUGGUUAAUUGCUUAUAUACCUAUUCAACAAGGAUCGCAUCCUGUGAUAGUGCCUUGGACAGGUGUUUCAAUUCUUUUAAAUAGUAGGAUUUCGACAGAAUUAAAUCACUUUUACUUUUCAUUUGAUAGUUCUUAGACUUUAUUGUAUCCUAGAGAUAAUUUGUCUAAUAUAGGCAAAUAACACCUUAAGAAAAGUGUUUUCACCCCUCAAAGUCUCUACAUUUGUUUAGUUUAGUUUUGUUAUUUACUACAAUUUUCCAACAGUUAGACGAGAUGUAUUUGUGGUGUCAUUAAGGAUCAUGUCGACAUCUUUUGUGGUGACACUGAAGAAGCCAUUCACAUCUGUUAUAGUUACCGGAGUGACAAAAUUUGUAGAACCAAGAUUGCAAGUGGCUGAGACUUUGGCUCCAAUUGGAGGAGGAGAAAGGCCAGCAGGUAAAAGAUUCCCUGUAUUGGUGCAGUGUAAUCGACCAGAAACCCUCAUCCUGGGCACAACUAUAUUGAUGUUGGCUGUAGCAGAAGCCAUGAAAGCAAAGAGGAUAGCGAGGCAAAGAAAGACAACAAAGAAAGAAUGAUCACGAUGAGAAGCCAUUGAGGAAAGCGCCGUUUUUUUUUUUUUUUUGGAAAGGAGGAGAAGUUAGAGAAAAGGAGGAGAGUUAUAUACUAGAAAAUAUUGUUCAUACAUCGGUGGUAGCGUUUGUUUUUGUUUUUAAUUUUUUAAAUGUAAGUGAAAAAUUUGGAACCUCUCUCAGAUACACUACCAAUCCCACCCCUACUGGUGAGAAUGUUUUGAUAUUUUUAUUAUACCCUUAAUUGUAAGGCCUAAGUGGUCCUAACCUCUUAGGUUAAAAAAGAAAAAAAAAAUAUCAUAUUUGAAUUUGAACUAUUAUCCCCAACAAUUGCACGUUAAUCUCGACACUGCUAAAUUAACAACCAUACGUUAUUUAAAUUUUUCUAAUCAUCCUUGUAAGUGACAAGUGAUCCUAGAGGCCUGAUUUGACCGAGGGUAGUGACUAGAAUUAAAACCAUCCAACAUCUUUUCUGUCCAAUAACUUCUCCAAUCAUUCAUUCCUAGUCCUCCACCAUUUGUAAACAAAUUCAUUAUUCAUUAAACAAGUAAAAACUAAUUAUAAGUUACUAUCCAUUCACAUAGAUGUAUCUAUAUAUUCACUAGGAAAAUACAAAAUCAAUUUUCAUAAAAACAAUUUUACAAAUAUACGAUAUUUAAGAUUUGAUGCAUAUACAUUGAGCGUGCACUAAAUACUAAUUUUAUGUAAAUUUGGUACAAUAAUAAUAUGUAAAAAAAAAAAAAAAAGGGUUGUAGCAAACACGACGACUAGUCAGUGUUUUGAAAACCGGACCGGACGGCCGGUUCGACCGGUUGAACCGCGAACCGGCCAUGGCUCCGGUCCGGUUCAAUGCCAGGUUUGACUUUGUCAAAGAAACCGGUCAAAAACCGGUCGGACCGCGAAACCGCUGAACCGGAUUUGAACCGGUUAUUUCCGGUUUUUGAGUUUUCCUUUUUUUUUUUUUGGCAAAAUGUAGUUAUUAAGAUUCGAACUCAAGACCUUUGUAAUAGAAGACCAAUGUAGUAACCGUUGCACUAUCACAUCUUAUUAGUUUUUUUUGAUAACUUAUUUAUAUAAAACAAACACUCAUAUUUCUUUUGUUCCAUUUUUUUACAAAAUAUCAUCCUUUCAUGACUCUUUCUUUUUAAUCUUCACACACACACACACACACACACACACACUCUCUCUCUCUAUCAUCUUUUCUUUUGCCACUCAUUUUUUAAUCAAACCUCUUUAUUUUUAAUUUAUUGAUGUUUUCUUCCAUAUUUUAAUUUUGUUUUUGUCCAUUAAAUUUAAAAAAGUUAAAAAAGAAUUAUUUUUCUUUAACCCAAUUUAUUUAAUACCACAACCACUCACUUUUAUCUAAUUUUUUGUUUCUUAUCAAAUUUGCAUUUCUAUUUUCAAUUCUCUUGAUUUUCUUCGAACUCCAAACUUUCUUUUUUAAAUUGUAAAUUUAAAUUCCAAAAUGUAAAUUAAAAUUUAAGUUCACAAUGUCUAAAUUCUCAUAGACGUGAAUUUUGUAUAAUUUCAAAUAUUGUGAUAUUUUUGGAUUAUAUUUAAGAUUUUUUUGGUAGAUAUAAUUGAAAUUGAGAUGAAAUUUAUUUGCUUUAACUUAUAAUUUAAAAAAUUUAUUUUUAAAAAUCCAAGUUAUUCAAAAAUAGUAAACUUUUCAUCAUAUAAAGUAUUAAAUUAUCCAUUACAUGUCUUAUUUUGUGCACAUAUAUAUUUAUAUAAAUUAUUUUUUAAAAAAUUCAUUGAACCGAGGUUGAACCGGUCCGACCGGUUGAAUCUCGACCCUUUCACUUCACCGGUUCGAUUAAUGGUCCGGUUUUUAAAACAUUGCGACUAGUAGAACCGGUCCAACCGGACAAAGUACAGCUAUACUGACUUUGAAGUCCGACAUUAUCCCUUGCUAUACUAAUACCAAUCAUAUUUCAAUUUAUGAACAAUUUAAUUUUACAAAGUAUUUGAUAAGAAAUGAUGGAUAGUGAGCUAUUGCACCGAUGCAAUAACUUCUCGGUCUUAUAGAUAAGGGACUGCCCCAGCAAACGUGCAAGAACAGCUACCUUAGGAAACUACCCUACCACAAUCCCACCUAUAGAGCAGGGACAAGCUUAUAUAUGGUUGGGACCGUUCACGAAAAUCCACUGCAGCAACUGUCCUGCCCUACUGAAAUCCCCUAUGAAGUACGAGCUUGGACAGGGAAGUGCCAAAGUAAAAAAUUUACAGCUAAUAAUAGUUUAGAAAAUAUAUAGAUCCCAAAUCACAGUGGGGAUACUUAGCAAGAAAGGACCGGAAGUUGUCAGGACACGAGGAAAAAUGGCCAGCUACAGCGUUUGCUUCAGCAUUACCAGCUAAAACUAGCGGCUAUGACGACAGCGAAUGGAUAAGCAAAACCAUACAUGGAUCCAAUUGUUAUAGCAAUGGGUGAAAUGGGUGCUCUAAGGAAUCCCCUUUGAGGCAAAGCCGAGCAUUCAUGUUGAGAUUAGAGAUGCGGACGCCGGCUGGGUUACUUAGAGUGAGAGUGACGAACCCCAUUGACAUUUAUUUAUGGUUGGGAUGGCCCACGAAAUUACACCGCAGCAAAUUGUGCUACCAAACGCUAAAGUCUAAUCCUUUGAGAGGCGGGAUGAGGGGCCUCCAAAGUCAAGAAUUUACAGCCAAAUAUUCCUAUAGUAGCCAGGAAUGGCAAACCGAUAGUAGGGCGCAUUGUAGCAGCCGAUAGUAGGGGGCAGGAUGUGAUGGGAUGGAAGAUGAGAGAAAGGGCAAGUGAGAGUCAACUUCAACAUCGGUCUUGGGGUUUCCAUCCUACGUCGGUCGGUAUUGGGGGGUUAGGAUUUGGAUAGAUAAGUCUCCUUAAAAAUCUUCAAAAGUUAUCGAUUUUUGAAAGAUUUUUUGGGGAUUAAGGUUUAUUUGUCGAAUUCUUACUUUCAUAAAAAAAAUGUAAGAAGAGUCAAUUUCAACAUUGUGCUGAAGGUGUCAAGAGCAAGGAUGGAGGUUUGUAUGCAUUGGAGUUCCAAAUAAAGACCAGCUGCAGCAAAUUCAAGGGGGUAAAACAGUCUAUAUAUGGCUAGCUACCCUGACAAAUGACAUCCGUGAAUUGAGUACUGUGUUUUACAAAUGCUCCUUUUGUCUAGGAAAAAUUAAUAAGAAUUAUCUUAGCUGUUUAUUUAAUGCUCAAGCUCUGAGUAAUUAUCAUGAUGUAGAGUGGAUUAAUCCCAAUCUACUGUGCUAAAUGCACGUUGUAAAGCAUCGAGCAUGUGCUCGCCUUUAUAUACUUUUGUCCAAUCAAUACAAUUCUAUUGUUUCAAUAAAUAAAUAAAAAAAAAGUUAGGCAUGGCAAACACUUGUCCCGCAGAGAGCCAGAGAGCAACGAGGCAAGGCGAGGCAGUGCCAAAGUGGGGGGAUUUUUCUUCCCCCAUUUUAAAUGGGGCAAGGGACGGAGAAGGAUAUUCUCGUAGAAAAUAUACAUACAUACAUAUAUAUAUAUAUAGCUGCACAUUAAUAAUAUAUGCAUAUAUCUUAUAAUUUAAGGACUAAAAAUAUCAUAAUUUGUAUGAUAAAAUGAUGACUUGGUUAUUUAUAGUUCAUUUUAAUUUUUUACAUAUUGUAAGUUAUUUAUUAAAAAAUUUAAAAUAAAUAUGAUGGUUAUGAGCUUCUAUUUGCUAUAUCUAUUAUGACUACAUAUCAAUAAUAUAUGCAUAUACAUCAAAAUUUGAAAAUAUAAAAACAUAAUUUGUAUGAAAAAAAUGAUGAUUUUGUUAUUUCUAGCUUACUUAAUUUUUUUUAACAUAUUAUGAGUUGUUUACCAAAAAAUAAAAAAAAUAAUGCAAGAUCCUAAUUAUUGUUUUCAGUUACAUACCUAUUAUCAAACAUAAUCGACAAUAAAUAAUAAAAAAAUUUGCAAAUGAAACAUUACAAAGAGCAAACCUUAAUAUCAUAAAUACCCUUAUCAACAUAUUAAGGUUAGUUGUCGAGAUUUUUAUGGUAUUAAAGUUCGCUCUUUGUAAUUUUUGGUUGCAAAAUUUUUUUGAUUAUUUGUUAUUGAUCAUGUAUAACAAUUGGUAUAUAACUGAAAAAGUAAUUUGAAUUUUAAAUUAAGUGAAAUAUAUACAAUGAUAUAUUAUUUUUUGAUACUAUAUGUGAUUUGAUCCUAGAUGAUAAACAGCGGAUGCUAGUGUUUUUCUUUAAUGUGUGAGAUGAUAUUAGAUUAACUAAAUAAUCUAGGCAAUGGUGGAAUCAUGUUAUAUUCUCUCUCCUGAUAUCACCUUUUAAUUGCUGGUUGGACCUAAAUGUUAUAAGAUAAUAAAUUUUAAAAAGGUUAGUAUAAUUUUUGAAGUCUAAAAGGUGGCCAGUGAAAUAGUUAGAAACCUCAAGGGAGGUUUCUAAAAUUAUUCCAAAGGAUAAUUGGCGGGACUAUCUGUGAAGAGUUUGGUCAAUCUUUGGUACGUUAGAGACUCUUUUUUGCCUGGUUCAUAAUAUUUCCGUUUCUCCAAAAGCAAAAUAAUUUAUGGGCUCGUCUUAUUUAAGCUCACCGUCCAUCCCAAAUUGAUCUUCCUUGAUGAAAGUUGGAUCCUGAAAGAAUUCAAUUGAUCUUGCAUUAUUCUCAACCAAUGGAAAGUUCCCCUACUUCAAUUACAUUCUUUCGUAAAUUCCCCAAAAAAUUUUGAGAUACACCACAAAAAAUCUUUCCUUCCAACUUGGAUAAUUGAGUGAGAGGAAAUUUGCUGUGUGGUUAUAAAAGUUCUCAAAAUCAAAAGGUCCAGUUUGUCUUCAAAAAGAGUGGUUGUAUAGGGUUUACCCAUCCCUAGCUUAUAUUCAAAAUCCUUUCACUUCUUUCUUAAAUUCUCGAACAAUGUUAAAAGCUCGUCUUAUUUUCUCUUCUUAGCUAACUACUAAACUAAAAGCUAAUAAUUCUGUGCAAACUACAAAACUAAACUUCUGUGCAAACUACUCCUAAUCUGUUUAUACUACUGUAGAAACUACCGAGCCUAGAAAACCCUGGGUCCGUUUGGAUUCUUGUUUUUUGGCCUGUUUUUUAAAAACUGUUUUUCACAAUCCAAAUGCUACAGUAAAUGUGUAUUUCAAAAACAACUCCAAAAACACCAAUAUCCAAACAAAUUUCUACUAAGCCUAGAAACUACUGUGAAAACCCUAAUUUUUUUUUUAAAAUUUCAAUACUGUGCAAAUUACAAGGCUAAAGCCUAGAAAUUUACAAUUAAUAUCUAAAACAUGACGAAUGAAUACGGCCGUCAUUACUCAAACACGGGCCUUCGGCCCUCCUUAGAGCCCAAAAAGUGAUGAACCGAAACUCCAAUGGUCCAAUCCAUUCUACUACUGAAGUCUGAAGAAAACAAGAGUUUAGCAUGAUUGUAAAUAAAUAAUUUUCAGACCACAAAAGUUACCUAACUGUCAAAUGAAUAACCUUUUUUGCCUUUGAAAAUGUCAUUUUGCUUUUUGGUUAAAGAAGGAAAAGUAAUAACAGCUGCUUAUAUUUCCAAAAUUUUCUCGAACCAUAAAAAGACCAAUGGAGAUUGCAAAGUUUUACUUCGAGAAUUCCAGUCCGGAAUUAAUGCAGAACAAAAGAGAAGGGGUAUGUAAGGUUUCAUCAGUGGUUGACCAACCACUAUACUGAAAACUUGAAGGGAAAAAAAAAUAAAGAAAAGAAAAUUUAGAGUCCAACAACCAUCAUGUUAAUAAAUUCAGAUGAAUUAUCAUGCAUUCAAUGCUGACGGUGUAUACAUUGUCAGUGUAUUGAAGAUUCAUUUAUAAAUUAAUUGAAAUUUACGAGUUGAUUGUAAGACAUUGGGAAACAUAGCUUAGGAGUUUGAUCUAAUGAACCUUAAAGAAUUGUAAUACUCUUUCCUAGAGAAUCUUUAUAGGUAAACUACACCGGCCAUCUGGCAAAAUAUUUACUUGUUUGCUGAAUAAGCAUUUUAUUUAAUUGAGGCAACUUUAAAUGCUUAAUCCAUGUUUUCAAUUUUUUUUUUUCAAAUUUUUGUUUCUUUAUUGUUUAGUCAGAACUUCCACCACAAUUUUAUGUGGCUUCCAGUUCGGGGUCAAUACGCUAGCUAAAUGCAGUACAAGAAGGUCUGGCCAAAAAAAGUGGAGGUCAAUGAAGGAUUCUAUCCACUGAGGACGAAUACCUGUGUCGAUCCAUACAAACUAAGAGAGGUAACUUUUAAUUUCAGACAAUUUUUUUUUUUGUGGGGAAUUAAGUUCUAACUUAAGUAAAGAUCUUCAUGAAAUUUUAUGUUGUAACGGUGUUUUUUUUUUUUUUUUGUUUGGAAAAUACAAUUUUUUUCCACCACAAUUUUAAGUGGUUUUUUUUUUUUAACCUUAAACGAUUACCAUGAAAAAAAAAAAAAAAACUGUAUGGAUGUACUAACAAAUUGACUAAUGGAAGAAUCUGAAAAAACUUGAUCACUCAAAUUAGCCCUUUUUCUGGGGCAAUAUAAUGGUGAGAAUCACAUGAACUUUACUUGAAGUACACUGAAUAUGUGACAGCAAGCAAAGUUUUCCCAAUGUUGAUGUGAUCUUUUAAUUAAUAUACCAAAAAAUCUUUAGUUUACAUCAACAAGGAAUCAGUCUUCAGACCCUUCAAAUACUCUUUGCCUUGCCAUAUGGGUUUGAAUUUCAACGAGUUUACUUUUACUAACUCUUGAAAACGAUUUGUGUGAAAUUAAUAUGCCAUGCAUCACUUGCCCUUAUUUGCCUUUUUGGAGGCCGAAAAGGUUUUGAUUCAGUGAAAUUAGAGAUUCUAAAUUCUAAAUUUUUAUGUUCCCUCCUCGCUUCUGAAGUCUCACACCUCCCCUAUAGGAAAAAAAAGAAUAAAAAGCAAAGUAUAGAUUCUCGGAGAAUGGAAUAAACUCCUCCAAGGGGUUUUUUUUUUUUUUUUUUUUUUGCAGCACAGGGGUGUCCGGGUCAAGACCCGAAGGCGGCCCGACUAAUCCCCUGCGCCUGGAGUACAGCGCCACCCCAACCACACCCAAGCAUUAAGUGAGGUUCGACCUCACGACCUGCGAGUGCCGGAAGCAGCCACAGACCGCGUGAUCUAGCCCCGGGGGCCCUCCAAGGGUUGAAGAGUAAUAUUUUGCAUCAUGCCAUAUAUUUUGCAUCAACUUGUAUGUGUAGCAUUUCGAUAGUCCCCAUAUUUAGUAACGCUCGAAUUUUUUUCUCAAUAUUGGGGAUCAUCGAUUAAACAUACACAAUUAACAAAUUUCCAUCUUUGUUUCUGCAUUUUUAUUCUGUAGUACACAAAUUAACGUGGCCUAUAUUUCAUACCAUAAGUAAAAUGUUUCUCUAUUUUUAAAACUUUUGUUUGAUAUCAUUGAUUUCAUUUUCUUUUCGUGUAUUUUGAUGGAUUUAUAUUAAUGGAACUAUUAACUUGAUGACCAGUUUCGAGGAAGCUAUAAGAGAAAAAUUUUACAUUUUUCGUAAACACAUUUUUCAAUCACUUUUUUUUUUACUUCACAUAUAUCAUAUUGCUAUAAUACAUUUUUCACAAAAACUCUAGAAAAUAGUAAUCCAAACGAACUAUAAGGCUAUCAUAUUCGCUAAGUUGUUUUGCAUCUGCUUUUUUAUCCCUUUAAUGGAUAAAAGAAGCCUUAUCUUUGCCUUCCAACUGUAUAUGCUAGAGUGGAUUGUCCAAAAGACACAGAAUCAUGGCACCUAAGUUUAAGAGGAAAUAGAAAUUUUAAUUUACAAUACAUCACCCAAAAUCUUCAUAAUCCAACUGGAAUUCACAGAUUGCCAUCUACCUGAAACAAGUACAUCCAUGCCUUUCUAUGAUCAAGAUUUUUUAACUCCUUAUUUUGAUUUUUGAGGCAUUUUAUGAUAAUAUCCUCAAAAGGGAUUCAUCAUUGCAUAGCUAUGAGUAUAUCCCUAGACCCCCAUCUGUUGAUUCUCUCUUCUUUCUGUUUUUUCCAAUUGAUUUGUAGACAGUUUAUUUUAAGGUAUUCAAUUAGAUCUUUUUUUUUUUUUUGAAGUGCAAAAUCCAACACAGAAUGGUAAAUCAUAGUAUAUGUCCAGCAGUCCCAUUUUUCUUAGCAUGGAAUUCAAAAAGAAAAAAAAAAGGACAAUUGGCACUGCAAUAUAUGAUAUUCCAAUUGGAGUUCACCAGUAAAAUCAGAAAUAUAGAGUUCUUUAUUACGUUUGAGGAGUACCGAUGUCAUUUUCAAUUUUUUAUCUUCUCCAAGCCUUUGCUUAAUUUGUAAGAUAAAGAUUGAAGGUAUAAUUGACUAACUGUAGUGUGGUUGAUAACAGCAACUCUCUACCAACAUAUAUUAUUGUAAGAUAAUAACUUACCAGAUUUUGGAAGAAAACCCUCUGAUUCAUCUAUUUUAAUCUCCCUUCCUGUAACAAACUUAUUUCUGGGAAAAAUUCAAAAGAAAAUUUUACAAAUAAUAAUCAGGAAGAAAUUUUCAAAUUUUCUAUAUAUUCUUUUAUAACUUACAAAUAAUUGCAGCCUGAUAAGCUAGAGGUACUUAGUAUCGAGUACCCAAAUCUCAAGGUGGAAACUUAUACAGAAGAAGCAUCAUAUAUAUAUAUAUAUAUAUAUAUAUGAACAAAUCUCAAUUCACUUUUUAACAAAGAAAAUCCCACCAAAUCCCAAACCAGUCAUCAAUUAUUUAAUUGGUGCAACCUUCAACUUGUGGGGUGAUCUUGCAUGGUUUACAUUUUGUAAAUAAGUGAGUAGAUAGAUGAGUUUCUAUGAUUCAUUAUUGCUAAUUAGGUGGUUACAUGAGUUAAGAAAAUUACAAUUGAGCACAAAAAUUUCAUGGACCGCACAAGGUACACAUCCAAUUGUCAAAUAUGCAUGCACAUCUAAAAGUCCAUAGAUUUGCAUAAAUUUUUAAAUUUGAUCAUGGUUGGCCAAGUAAUUACUUGAACAAACUGUUCUUUAUUAUUAUUAUUAUUAUUAUCAGUUGAUGCCUACAAGAUGAGAAUUGCAUUUUCUAUUAAAGCUGUAAAGUCAAUAAUACACGUAAUCACAAAAGUAAGCAUGCAACAAGUAGAAGUAGGUAGUGUAAAUAAAAUACUUCAACAUAAUUGCCUUUUCUUUUUUUUUCCCCUUUUUUGUGAAAUUGCCUAUUAGUAUCAUAAAUCCCCUAUUAGUAGAAUAUUUAAAAAAAAAAUUAUAGAGUUUCAAGAUUGAAAAAUGCUACUUUACAAUUGAAAAAAAAAACCUGUCUUAAUUUAGGUUAGUUCUAUUCAAUUUUUUUUUUUUUAAAAGUGUUUAUUAGAAUCUGUACUUUUGAUUUUCAGUUGGAAGUUGCAUUCGUGGUGGUUCCCCUGGCUGCUUUCCACAAUCCACACUCCAACUCUUCCUUGCUCUUUCUCCCACCUUUCCAGUCGUUUCCUUUACGUCAUAGCAUUGAUUCAAUUCAAGAACAAGAAGAAGAAAAAAGGUGCAAUAGAAGCCAAAGUCCACCCCUAAACCUUUCUUUUUUUCUCAGUUUCUCUUCCUUCGAAGUCUUCUCUCUCUCUCUCUUCAUCCAAUAUCCAUCCAUCCCAUGUAGCAAAAACACUUGGACUAGUUCUACUACAAGCAUUUACUGCCCCUUGUAGAAAGACCUGUUCUAUCCUCUUCCCUCCAUCUGUUUCCAUUUUGUCAGCAUUUCAUUUCACCUCUUUCUUUAUAUCUGAGCAGAACCCACAAUUUUGCAAACGCUUGUCUCAGUUUCUGCAGCAUCUCAAAUGGCAAAUACUCUGUUUUCAAGAGCUUUCUUGAUUGUAUCCACCCUUGUAUUGUCUAGUACUAGUUUUUUAACUGAGGCAAGAUUCGUGGUGGAGAAGAGUAGUAUUAGUAUACUUGAUCCUUCUGAUAUUCGCUCCAAGCACGAUGCUGCUAUUGGCAACUUUGGUGUGCCUGACUAUGGAGGAUCAAUGGUUGGAACUGUUGUUUAUCCUGAUACAGGUGCUACUGGUUGUUCUCCUUUUGAGGGUGAUAAGCCCUUCAGGUCAAAGUCUUCCACUCCCACCAUCCUCCUCCUUGAUCGUGGAGGUAAUCAUCAGCUUUCUUCUUCUCCUGUCGCUUUUCCUGGUGCAAUUUUUUUUUUUGUUAGUUUUAUACAUCUGCAUGUGUCUAUGUGAUAUGCAAUUUAACAAUUUUUGAGAAUUUGGAGAAUGGGAUUUUAGUAGUUAGCUCUUUAAGGUGGUGGGAUUAUUUCUUUUUAAUUUUUUUAAAGUGAGUUUAACGUUGUUUAGAAGAUUUUGAUGUGUUGCUUCUGUCCUUUAGGUAAUUAAAUUGUCUUUUUGGAUGUCCAGAUUUAGUUACUCUGUUUUAUUGCUCUGUUUUCAUGGUCAACCUUGAUACUUUCUGCCAUGUGAUCAUCCGACGGCAGAGAAUCAAUUUGCAGUUUAUAGCUUUUUUUUUUUAAUUUAAUCAACUAUAGUUUCCUAAUUUAAAACCUUUGAUUUUUCUGGUGUAUUUGUGCAAACUUCUUUUUAUUUUUCAGAGGAAAUAAGUUGAUUCUGAUGCAUCAAGCUGUUCUUAUAUUACCCAUCUGUGUCUUCCUAGAGGCACCCAAACAAUUUUGGGUCCUGGAAUACUAUCCUUUGUGCAUGGAUUAUUGAUGCUUAACGGAAAGUCCUGGAUGAACUCAGAAUGCUAAUCCAAUCAAAAUAAUUUUGGUUACAGUAUAAACGGAGCAACAAUUGGUAGGGGUUCAAAAGUGGAAUUUAAACACUGCAGAUUUAUGGAAUCUCAAGUUUUGGCCGUGGUUGAUGAAAUUCUACUUCUUUUCUCCUGUCUUGUUAUGAAAUCAUGCUAAUUCUGGUUUCUGGGAGAGUGGAGGGAACCUUUUAGCUGCAUACCAAUUACCAGGAGACCUUUUUGAGAUAAAUGGACGAGCCCGAUUGAAACCAAUAACAAGUAAUUAGAACAAACAAUUUUAUGAUGCAAUGGAACGCUGUGGUCUCUAAUUAAAACUUUUUUCUGCCCUUUACAGGAUGUUACUUCGCUUUGAAGGUAUGGAAUGGACAACAAGCUGGUGCUGCUGCAGUUUUAGUGGCUGAUAGCGUAGAUGAGCCCCUAAUAACUAUGGAUUCACCGGAAGAAAGCUCAGAUGCAGAUGGAUACUUGGAGAAGAUUGGAGUCCCUUCAGUUUUGAUUGAUCAUUCUGUCGGUGAAUCCAUAAAGGGUGCACUGAAGAAAGCUGCAAAUGUUGUUGUAAAAAUUGACUGGUCGGAGUCAAUGCCACAUCCUGAUCAGAGGGUGGAGUAUGAGCUGUGGACCAAUAGUAAUGAUGAGUGUGGAAUCCGGUGUGAUGAACAAAUGAAUUUCAUCAAAAAUUUUAAGGGCAAUGCUCAGAUUCUUGAGAAGGGUGGAUACACCCGUUUCACACCACACUACAUAACUUGGUAUUGUCCUCACGCUUUUCUUCUUAGCAGUCAAUGCAAGUCUCAGUGCAUCAAUCAUGGAAGAUACUGUGCACCUGAUCCUGAGCAAGACUUUGGGAUGGGGUAUCAAGGAAAGGACGUAGUAUUUGAAAAUUUAAGACAGCUCUGCGUGCACAGAGUUGCGAAUGAGAGCAACCGCUCUUGGGUUUGGUGGGAUUAUGUGACAGACUUCCACAUUAGGUGUUCAAUGAAGCAAAAGAAAUACAGCAAGGAAUGUGCAGAGGAGGUUAUGAGAUCGCUGCGUAAGUUCUGCUCUCAAAAGCUUUUUCUGCAGAACAAAUUGAUCUUGCAUUUUGAAAAUACUCAAUUAUUUACGUAUCUUGUCCAUCAGAUCUACCGAUUGAGAAGAUAAAGAGUUGUAUGGGUGACCCCGAAGCUGAUGUGGAAAAUCAAGUACUUAAAAUUGAACAAGACCUCCAGGUUCUUACAAUCUCCACACCUCAAUUUUAUUUGUCUCAGUUGUCAGAAAUUAACGCUGAUGAGACAAAAAUUAGACCUGAUUUGGUGGAUGAAUGACGAUUACAUUGACUUUUUGUUCCUUGUUAAAUCUAGGUUGGUCGAGGAUCUCGAGGUGAUGUCACAAUAUUGCCAACAUUGGUUAUAAACGAUGUCCAGUACAGAGGUUUGUUACAGAUGUCUAUGUUGUUCAAUACUUGUAGUCCCUUGGUAGUUUUGGAUAUUACUUCAGAAGAUUAAUCCACAUUCUUUUUGGAUGGUUAAUGGAGAAAACAUUGGACUUGUAAUUUUCUGUAUCAGUUCAAAGAUGCUGGCCAGCUGACAUGGUCAUCCAUUCUGAUUAAAAUUUUUCGAGUUAAGAUCAGAUGCAAGAUUCUGUCUGCAACUGCAGCUUUUGGCCUCCUUUUUCUCCUGAAGAUAAAAAGGACUCAUUUGGGAGUAACAGCAUUAUCUUGCAUUAGUUUAUCCAAACAAAAUUAGUAACUGAAUUGAUAACUUAAUUCAAUCACAGUAAGAAUGACACAAGAUUGGAGACAAUAUUUCAGAAAACGGGAUGGGUUUUCCUGAGACAUAUUCCCUAUUGCGAAUUUCAUUUGUAAUACUUACUCUUGCAACUCCAACAAAUUUACAAUCUGAAUGAAUUCUGAUUUGGUUGUGGCAUUUCUGAUCAUACUUCAAUUAGUUUGACCAAAGCAUAUAAUGUGAAAUGCUUCUACAUCAAACAAUUAACCAUAUAAUUAUCUAAAGAAACUAUUUUUCUAGUUAAUGAUGGAUUUUUGUUUUGCUAACUAAACUAAAUUUACUUUUUCUUCGCUCCAUGAAGGAAAAUUAGAGAGGAUUGCCGUCUUAAAAGCCAUUUGCGCUGGAUUCAAGGAGACUACUGAUCCUCCCAUUUGUCUAAAUGGAGGUUUGGCUCUGCAUGGCUGAUGGUUUUUGCUAGUGACAGAAAUAGUACUUAUGUAGCAUCAUCUGAUCUCUCUGCUUUACAAACAGAUCUUGAGACCAACGAGUGCCUUGAAAACAAUGGUGGCUGUUGGCAGGAUUCUCAUUCUAACAUAACUGCCUGCAAGGUAAGUGAAAGCAUUUCUUCUGAUUACAUACACGUGGUGACUUGUGCUUCUUGCUGUGGAAUGAUUGAAAUACACGAAUAAACCACUUUAGCUGCUCUCUUAUCAGCCUUUAUUUGUUAUUUCUUAAGGAUACAUUCAGGGGAAGAGUUUGUCAGUGCCCUUCAGCGAAUGGUGUGCAAUAUAGAGGAGAUGGAUACAAGUCUUGUGAAGGUAUCUAUUCUAUUCUAUAGGGAGAUAUAUCUUUCAACAAUUUAGCUUUGAUACUUCCAAACAUGUUCCCCUUUUAUUAUCAACUUGUGAAGGAAUCUUUUCCUGGAACCAUUUUUUUGGGGGGCUUUUGCGGUCCAGAAUAAGGCAUUACGAGAUAACAUUUUAAGUGAUUUCGCUUUGUUCUGUCGCAUUGCCUAGAUCCAACAGGCAUGCAAGUAUCUUACACAUUCACCAAUUCCAACCCUGCUGCUUUACAUAAGUGGCCAAUUAAAAUUAUGUUCAAUUCUAUAUUCAAAGAUUGCACCUGAGUUUCUCCUUAGAAUUAUAACCUCGUAGGCACAUACUAUCCAGGAUUCAUGCCUCUUACGCUUUUGCUUCCUCUUUUAUAUUUGCAGCUGUUGGACCUGGAAGAUGCAUGGUCAAUCAUGGAGGGUGCUGGUCAGAAACUCGACAUGGACUGACAGUUUCAGCUUGCACAGUUCAGUGAUACAUUACUUUUCAAAAGACAACAGUUUUUUUAUGGAUUCUACCAUUCUAAUGUUGAUAUGAUAUCCUUCUGUGGAUAAACAGGAAUCUGAUCUUACAGGCUGUCACUGUCCUCCUGGAUUCACUGGAGAUGGCUAUAGAUGUGAAGGUGCUUUCCUGCCAUUGUCAAAGAUGGAUAACUCUUUAACAUAUAUAAGAUCCCCAGUCUUCUACUUAGCUCUGGCUAUCAUUCUUAAGUUUACUGCCUUAAUCUGAGAUUUCAAUUCAAUGUUCUACUCUUUAAUGUAUGACAGAAAUAGAUGAAUGUAAGGAAGGUAAAGUUUGUCAAUGUGAUGAUUGCACCUGUAAGAACACAUGGAGCGGAUUUGAGUGCGGUUGCAGAGGGGACAAACUUUACAUUUUGGAGCACGAUACCUGCAUUGGUAAGAAAAAUCAUCUCAAAUUGAUUGGAAUUUGCGAUUCUGCAGAAGUAACACAGAGUUGUUUGCUGCUUUAAACACAUCAUGUGCGACUAGUUUCAUUAUCUUUCUCUUUGGUUGAAAUGAAAAUUUCAUAUUUUUCCGAGAUUCUAAUAUUCAUCUAGGGUAAAAAAGAUGUAAGAGCCACCAAAAUGUAAAAGAUGAACUAUGUCUUAUUCUUUGCUUCAAUCUGCUGAUAUCUCCUUGCUUGCAUAGAGUUCCAUCUAAAUAGAGCUGUUAAUCGAGCUGAGUCGAGCCGAGUAUUUGGUUGCCGAGCUCGACUCGAGUUUAAUUCGAGCCGAGCUCAACUCGAGCUCGUUAAGAAAACGAACUUUAAAAUGUGUUCGAACUCGGCUCGUUAAAUGUACAUGUGGCUCGAGUUCGAGCUCGAGCUCGACUCGUUUGUGACAAACGAGUCGAGUUUCACGAGCUCGUGCAAAUUAACAUUAAUAAAAACCUAUAAUUUUUAAUUUAUAUAAUUUUGAUUUCUAAAAUGACAAAUAUGCCCUUCAUUAACGAGCUCUAACGAGCUACUCGAGUAUCAAACGAGCCGAGCUUACUCGGCUCGUUAACUAAACGAGCAUGUUUCGAGCUCGAGCUCGACUCGUUAACUAAAAUUAAAGAGCCGAGCUCGAGCCUUAACGAGCCGAGCUCUAACGAGCUUUCGAGCUACUCGAUUGGCUUAACAGCUCUACAUCUAAAUACCCUAACAAGUGUUGACUUUCAAUCCUGAGUACAUAUUCCAUGCAGAAUACAAUGUGAGCCUAUUUUUAUGGGAUUUAUUUACUCAGACUUCCUAAGUGCGUGUGCUUAUUAAUUUAAAAAUUGCCCAUCGAAUAAACCAACAAAAAAAAAAAGCUCAAAAGACUACUCUUGCUGCCUUAUUUGUAAACAGCAUAAGAAGAUAUAAUGCACAAGACUCCCACCACAUGGGGCUAGGUAUACAAGAUUAGAUAGUAUUUUCGUGUACCUGACCUAUGAAUAUCGUCCAUGUCAGAAUAGUCUGCAGGAAUGCCCAAAACCUCAACCACAGCAAAUGUCUUAGGUUGUCACUCAAGAAAAUGAAACUCACUUCUUUAACGACGAUUCAUUUCUUCAAAAUAAAUAGAUUUACUUUUACUUGUUUGUUUGCAAUAUAUAAUCUCUCUCUCUCUCUUUUUGCUUAUGUAUACAAACAUAAGCUCCUAUGCAUCAGGACACAUGUAUCAGUUCAAGACUUCAUUAACUUCAGUUUUCCUGCAUCUUUUUCAUUUCUAUUUCUUACUGUUUUCCUUGUAAUGAGAGGCAAACCACCUUUUAUCAACAGGACAGUACGUUUGAGUUGCUAGUAAUAAGGUUAAAAGCUAUGCACUCAACAAGUUAUCCCCUGAGGGGAGAUGAAAAAUAUGUACUUUAGUAGGAUGCUGCAAACAAAGAACAAAUUACUAAUUACUAUCUUUCUCAUUCCUUACAGAAAGGCACACAUCAAAAUUCGGGUGGUUCCUCACAUUAUUGGUUUUAGCUGCAGUAGUGGCUGCUAGCAUGGCUGGUUACAUCUUCUACAAAUAUAGACUUCGAGUAUGUCUCAUUAUCAUCAGCUCAACAAACUUCUUACAUUGCGAUCAUCUAUUUCAUGUAUCUAACUUCCAUCUGAUUUGCAGUCUUACAUGGACUCGGAGAUUAUGGCCAUCAUGUCACAGUACAUGCCAAUCGACAAUCAGCAAAAUCAGGUUGUCCAUCAUGAAGCUGAGCCUCUUCAACAACGUUCAUCUGUGUAGAAGUCGCCGAUUGCUAUCUACACUCAGCUGCCACUUGUCUUCUUCAACUCUACAGUUUUCACAAAUCCUGGAUGAGGCAGGCAUUGCUUUAUUUUCUAAAGCAGCAGCUGAGGCAACGACGAAUUCUGAUGGAAAGUAUACAUGAGAACUUGCAUCUGCUGGUUUGGAAUUUUGAAGCUGGAUAGAAAUGAAUUAAUGUAGCUACCCUUGAAGUUGGCAAGAACAUUUUCCCUUGUGUACAUAACAUUACUCGUAGAUGUAAGCCUAAACUUGUCAGGCAAAGGCGUGGAAGUUUACACUGAAAUCAUUUUCAGCUUUUAUAGAUGAUAAGCUUUCAAAGGUGCAGAUUUUGCUGGGAGGAACAUUUUCAUCUUCGAAUGGGUAAAUUGAAGGCCAUUCCUGUUUACUGUGUUCCUCCUAUUUGCACCUCAAGACAUGGUGUGCUUCUGGGACGCCAUAUUCAAUCUAGUUUUGAACGUUUGUUGCAAACGACACAAUAACAAAUUCUUAAACGCCAGUUAUACAAUAUCUAAAACAAGUAAUAAUAAGAAGUAAUUUUUGUCAAGUUUUUGUGAAAAUUGAGCAAUUCCUGGUUUAAUUAGCAUCAAAUUCAGUCUUUCGUCAGGAGAUGGACAGUAAAACCUACUUGCAAUCAAUUACGUGAAAAUUUUAGUAGUCAACUGACUCUUCAUUUUACCCUAGAAUCGAUUUCUUUAUAUAUAUAUAUAUAAAAAAAAAAAAGAUAGGCAUAAUUUGCAUCCAUAACCCAUCUGCCUAAUUGUAAACUUAAACAGUAAAACUUGACUAUGGACUAUAAGGUUACUUGUCUGGGGUUAGAUAGCUAGAGUUUAGGAUGCCGUUAAUUAGCUUGAUUUUUUAAUCUAGAGUUUAUAGGAAAUGUACAUACAGAUAUUCCGAACUAAGAAAAGACAGUUUACUCUCCUUAUCACUCAAUAAGCAAUUUCAAAGGAAGCUCUAAACAUCACAAAAAAUAAUUUUGGUGAGACAAUGAUAGGACAAUGAGAAGUAACAGAUCCAAAUAGGAAAAUAAAGCGUUCCAAGGCUUUGGCCAAUGUUAAGCUUCUCAUCUCUUUCUUCCUCCACGCUCUCUGAGAGAGAGUUGAAGUGUUUCUCCGGGUGCAACGUUAUAAUAUGCGAGCGACAAAUUGUCCUUGAGAAAACCAGGCCUUCCACUCAGUUUCUGUUUGUUAGCCGGAAGUUGAAUCUCACCAGCUAUUUUCUCUUUCAAGCUGCUGACAGUUUCAGACAGCGACUGCACAAGAAUCUCCAGCACCUGCCCUUUCAUAUUGCCUUCAUCAUGAUUGGGCACAGACACGUUGAUACGAGCAGGUCCCUGCAGUGCACACAAAUGCAAGCUUAAUUACAACCAAUGACGUAAAACCUUCUCUUUGUACAAAAGGAAAAUUUUUUUUUAAAAAAAAAAUCACAAAUAUAAAUGAAUGCAAAAGUGCAUCAUACCGAAUGUUGAGCUAAAAAUUGGUCCUCGGGAACAAGCAGAGCAUCAUCAAGUUUCUGUCUUUUUGGUUCUGGUUCUUCAGGAAGUGGUGGAGGAGCUUCCUCAGGUGGAGGUGGUGGCAUUCCCUGAGGCAUGGAUGGCGGUGGGACCAUAGGCAUGCCAGGUUGUGACAUGGAAAGGGGAACAAAAGGCCGCGGAGCAGACAAAGGUGUAAAUUGAGAUCCAGGUGGCGGUGGCACAGGCAUGUUGGGGGAAUUCAUGGACAUGGACGGAUGCAUUUGGGGUCGAUUUACCAUCAGAGGUUGCUGGCCCGGCAUCAUUGACAUCGGAUGAGGUGCAGGUCUAGGCAGAACACCGACGACUGGAGGCCUAGGUGGAGGUGGAGCCAAAACACCGGGACCAGUUGGGGUUGAAUACUGAACAGUAUUAGGAGGCCUA
rnacentral:lncRNA from 1 species